rnacentral:rRNA from 1 species
UUAAGCGACUAAGCGUACACGGUGGAUGCCCUGGCAGUCAGAGGCGAUGAAGGACGUGCUAAUCUGCGAUAAGCGUCGGUAAGGUGAUAUGAACCGUUAUAACCGGCGAUUUCCGAAUGGGGAAACCCAGUGUGAUUCGUCACACUAUCAUUAACUGAAUCCAUAGGUUAAUGAGGCGAACCGGGGGAACUGAAACAUCUAAGUACCCCGAGGAAAAGAAAUCAACCGAGAUUCCCCCAGUAGCGGCGAGCGAACGGGGAGGAGCCCAGAGCCUGAAUCAGUGUGUGUGUUAGUGGAAGCGUCUGGAAAGGCGCGCGAUACAGGGUGACAGCCCCGUACACAAAAAUGCACAUAUUGUGAGCUCGAUGAGUAGGGCGGGACACGUGGUAUCCUGUCUGAAUAUGGGGGGACCAUCCUCCAAGGCUAAAUACUCCUGACUGACCGAUAGUGAACCAGUACCGUGAGGGAAAGGCGAAAAGAACCCCGGCGAGGGGAGUGAAAAAGAACCUGAAACCGUGUACGUACAAGCAGUGGGAGCACGCUUAGGCGUGUGACUGCGUACCUUUUGUAUAAUGGGUCAGCGACUUAUAUUCUGUAGCAAGGUUAACCGAAUAGGGGAGCCGAAGGGAAACCGAGUCUUAACUGGGCGUUAAGUUGCAGGGUAUAGACCCGAAACCCGGUGAUCUAGCCAUGGGCAGGUUGAAGGUUGGGUAACACUAACUGGAGGACCGAACCGACUAAUGUUGAAAAAUUAGCGGAUGACUUGUGGCUGGGGGUGAAAGGCCAAUCAAACCGGGAGAUAGCUGGUUCUCCCCGAAAGCUAUUUAGGUAGCGCCUCGUGAAUUCAUCUCCGGGGGUAGAGCACUGUUUCGGCAAGGGGGUCAUCCCGACUUACCAACCCGAUGCAAACUGCGAAUACCGGAGAAUGUUAUCACGGGAGACACACGGCGGGUGCUAACGUCCGUCGUGAAGAGGGAAACAACCCAGACCGCCAGCUAAGGUCCCAAAGUCAUGGUUAAGUGGGAAACGAUGUGGGAAGGCCCAGACAGCCAGGAUGUUGGCUUAGAAGCAGCCAUCAUUUAAAGAAAGCGUAAUAGCUCACUGGUCGAGUCGGCCUGCGCGGAAGAUGUAACGGGGCUAAACCAUGCACCGAAGCUGCGGCAGCGACGCUUAUGCGUUGUUGGGUAGGGGAGCGUUCUGUAAGCCUGUGAAGGUGUGCUGUGAGGCAUGCUGGAGGUAUCAGAAGUGCGAAUGCUGACAUAAGUAACGAUAAAGCGGGUGAAAAGCCCGCUCGCCGGAAGACCAAGGGUUCCUGUCCAACGUUAAUCGGGGCAGGGUGAGUCGACCCCUAAGGCGAGGCCGAAAGGCGUAGUCGAUGGGAAACAGGUUAAUAUUCCUGUACUUGGUGUUACUGCGAAGGGGGGACGGAGAAGGCUAUGUUGGCCGGGCGACGGUUGUCCCGGUUUAAGCGUGUAGGCUGGUUUUCCAGGCAAAUCCGGAAAAUCAAGGCUGAGGCGUGAUGACGAGGCACUACGGUGCUGAAGCAACAAAUGCCCUGCUUCCAGGAAAAGCCUCUAAGCAUCAGGUAACAUCAAAUCGUACCCCAAACCGACACAGGUGGUCAGGUAGAGAAUACCAAGGCGCUUGAGAGAACUCGGGUGAAGGAACUAGGCAAAAUGGUGCCGUAACUUCGGGAGAAGGCACGCUGAUAUGUAGGUGAAGUCCCUCGCGGAUGGAGCUGAAAUCAGUCGAAGAUACCAGCUGGCUGCAACUGUUUAUUAAAAACACAGCACUGUGCAAACACGAAAGUGGACGUAUACGGUGUGACGCCUGCCCGGUGCCGGAAGGUUAAUUGAUGGGGUCAGCGCAAGCGAAGCUCUUGAUCGAAGCCCCGGUAAACGGCGGCCGUAACUAUAACGGUCCUAAGGUAGCGAAAUUCCUUGUCGGGUAAGUUCCGACCUGCACGAAUGGCGUAAUGAUGGCCAGGCUGUCUCCACCCGAGACUCAGUGAAAUUGAACUCGCUGUGAAGAUGCAGUGUACCCGCGGCAAGACGGAAAGACCCCGUGAACCUUUACUAUAGCUUGACACUGAACAUUGAGCCUUGAUGUGUAGGAUAGGUGGGAGGCUUUGAAGUGUGGACGCCAGUCUGCAUGGAGCCGACCUUGAAAUACCACCCUUUAAUGUUUGAUGUUCUAACGUUGACCCGUGAUCCGGGUUGCGGACAGUGUCUGGUGGGUAGUUUGACUGGGGCGGUCUCCUCCUAAAGAGUAACGGAGGAGCACGAAGGUUGGCUAAUCCUGGUCGGACAUCAGGAGGUUAGUGCAAUGGCAUAAGCCAGCUUGACUGCGAGCGUGACGGCGCGAGCAGGUGCGAAAGCAGGUCAUAGUGAUCCGGUGGUUCUGAAUGGAAGGGCCAUCGCUCAACGGAUAAAAGGUACUCCGGGGAUAACAGGCUGAUACCGCCCAAGAGUUCAUAUCGACGGCGGUGUUUGGCACCUCGAUGUCGGCUCAUCACAUCCUGGGGCUGAAGUAGGUCCCAAGGGUAUGGCUGUUCGCCAUUUAAAGUGGUACGCGAGCUGGGUUUAGAACGUCGUGAGACAGUUCGGUCCCUAUCUGCCGUGGGCGCUGGAGAACUGAGGGGGGCUGCUCCUAGUACGAGAGGACCGGAGUGGACGCAUCACUGGUGUUCGGGUUGUCAUGCCAAUGGCACUGCCCGGUAGCUAAAUGCGGAAGAGAUAAGUGCUGAAAGCAUCUAAGCACGAAACUUGCCCCGAGAUGAGUUCUCCCUGACUCCUUGAGAGUCCUGAAGGAACGUUGAAGACGACGACGUUGAUAGGCCGGGUGUGUAAGCGCAGCGAUGCGUUGAGCUAACCGGUACUAAUGAACCGUGAGGCUUAACCUU